rnacentral:rRNA from 1 species
GGUCUGAUUAGUGGCGAACGGGUGAGUAACACGUGAGUAACCUGCCCUCCACUUCGGGAUAACCUCGGGAAAUCGUGGCUAAUACCGGAUAUGAAUCCUUGUCGCAUGGCGGGGGUUGGAAAGAUUUAUCGGUGGGGGAUGGACUCGCGGCCUAUCAGUUUGUUGGUGAGGUAAUGGCUCACCAAGACGAUGACGGGUAGCCGGCCUGAGAGGGCGACCGGCCACACUGGGACUGAGACACGGCCCAGACUCCUACGGGAGGCAGCAGUGGGGAAUAUUGCACAAUGGGCGAAAGCCUGAUGCAGCGACGCCGCGUGAGGGAUGACGGCCUUCGGGUUGUAAACCUCUUUCAGUAGGGAAGAAGCGAGAGUGACGGUACCUGCAGAAGAAGCGCCGGCUAACUACGUGCCAGCAGCCGCGGUAAUACGUAGGGCGCAAGCGUUGUCCGGAAUUAUUGGGCGUAAAGAGCUUGUAGGUGGCUUGUCGCGUCUGCCGUGAAAACCCGAGGCUCAACCUCGGGCGUGCGGUGGGUACGGGCAGGCUAGAGUGUGGUAGGGGAGACUGGAACUCCUGGUGUAGCGGUGAAAUGCGCAGAUAUC